UUUUGUAUAGUUUAGUGGCGGACGGGUGAGUAACACGUGAGCAACCUGCCUUCGAGAGGGGAAUAACGGCUGGAAACGGUCGCUAAUACCGCAUAACAUACAGGAGGGACAUCCCUUUUGUAUCAAAGAUUUAUCGCUCGAAGAUGGGCUCGCGUCCGAUUAGGUAGUUGGUGAGGUAACGGCCCACCAAGCCGACGACCGGUAGCCGGACUGAGAGGUUGAACGGCCACAUUGGGACUGAGACACGGCCCAGACUCCUACGGAAGGCAGCAG
rnacentral:rRNA from 1 species